GCUCAAGUGAUGGAAUUAAGGACGGUACGUUAUCCUUGUAAUGGGGAUCCAGCAGGGUGGCCACCCAGUAAUCAGCACAAGUUAGAAUGUGGGCAACUCGGCAGUCAUUGCGCAGGCACUUUGGUGAAUUUAGAUAACCUUGGGCCGAUUGCACGUUCCCGUGACAGCGACAACGUAUUCGGAUGUCUACCUAUCAACUUUCCAUGGUACUUUCUGCACCUACCAUGGUGACCACAGGUAACAGGGAAUCAGGGUUCGAUUCCGGAG